UAAUACCUACGGGGGGCAGCAGUGAGGAAUAUUGGUCAAUGGGCGGGAGCCUGAACCAGCCAAGCCGCGUGAGGGAAGAAGGUACAGCGUAUCGUAAACCUCUUUUGUCAGGGAACAAAGGCGGGGACUAGUCCCCGGAUGAGGGUACCUGAAGAAAAAGCAUCGGCUAACUCCGUGCCAGCAGCCGCGGUAAUACGUAGGUGGCAAGCGUUGUCCGGAUUUAUUGGGCGUAAAGCGAGUGCAGGCGGUUCAAUAA
rnacentral:rRNA from 1 species